UACGUAGGGGCGAGCGUUGUCCGGAAUGAUUGGGCGUAAAGGGCGCGUAGGCGGCUGUGCAAGUCAGUAGUGGAAGCCCAGCUUUUAAGGUUGGGAGUGCUAUUGAAACUGUGCAGCUUGAGUGCAGGAGAGGUUAUCGGAAUUCCCGGUGUAGCGGUGAAAUGCGUAGAGAUCGGGAGGAACACCAGCGGCGAAGGCGGGUGACUGGACUGCAACUGACGCUGAGGCGCGAAAGUGUGGGGAGCAAACAGGAUUAGAUACCCCU
rnacentral:rRNA from 1 species